GUUGUAUGGUUAAGUGACUAAGCGUACACGGUGGAUGCCUGGGCAGUCAGAGGCGAUGAAGGACGUACUAACUUGCGAUAAGCGCAGAUAAGGCAGUAAGAGCCGUUUGAGUCUGCGAUUUCCGAAUGGGGAAACCCAACUGCAUAAGCAGUUACUGUUAACUGAAUACAUAGGUUAACAGAGCAAACCGGGGAACUGAAACAUCUAAGUACCCCGAGGAGAAGAAAUCAACCGAGAUUCCGGUAGUAGCGGCGAGCGAACCUGGAUUAGCCCUUAAGCACUCGGUGAAGUAGGUGAACAAGCUGGAAAGCUUGGCGAUACAGGGUGAUAGCCCCGUAACCGACGCUUCAUCGAGCGUGAAAUCGAGUAGGGCGGGACACGUGAUAUCCUGUCUGAAUAUGGGGGGACCAUCCUCCAAGGCUAAAUACUCCUGACUGACCGAUAGUGAACCAGUACCGUGAGGGAAAGGCGAAAAGAACCCCUGUGAGGGGAGUGAAAUAGAACCUGAAACCGUGUACGUACAAGCAGUAGGAGCACCUUCGUGGUGUGACUGCGUACCUUUUGUAUAAUGGGUCAGCGACUUAUAUUCAGUGGCAAGGUUAACCGUAUAGGGGAGCCGUAGCGAAAGCGAGUCUUAACUGGGCGCUCAGUCUCUGGAUAUAGACCCGAAACCGGGUGAUCUAGCCAUGGGCAGGUUGAAGGUUGAGUAACAUCAACUGGAGGACCGAACCGACUAAUGUUGAAAAAUUAGCGGAUGACUUGUGGCUAGGGGUGAAAGGCCAAUCAAACUCGGAGAUAGCUGGUUCUCCCCGAAAGCUAUUUAGGUAGCGCCUCGGACGAAUACUACUGGGGGUAGAGCACUGUUAAGGCUAGGGGGUCAUCCCGACUUACCAACCCUUUGCAAACUCCGAAUACCAGUAAGUACUAUCCGGGAGACACACGGCGGGUGCUAACGUCCGUCGUGGAGAGGGAAACAACCCAGACCGCCAGCUAAGGUCCCAAAGUAUUGCUAAGUGGGAAACGAUGUGGGAAGGCUCAGACAGCUAGGAUGUUGGCUUAGAAGCAGCCAUCAUUUAAAGAAAGCGUAAUAGCUCACUAGUCGAGUCGGCCUGCGCGGAAGAUGUAACGGGGCUAAGCAAUACACCGAAGCUGCGGCAAUGUCUUUUAGACAUUGGGUAGGGGAGCGUUCUGUAAGCCGUUGAAGGUGAAUCGUAAGGUUUGCUGGAGGUAUCAGAAGUGCGAAUGCUGACAUGAGUAACGACAAAGGGGGUGAAAAACCUCCUCGCCGGAAGACCAAGGGUUCCUGUCCAACGUUAAUCGGGGCAGGGUGAGUCGACCCCUAAGGUGAGGCCGAAAGGCGUAAUCGAUGGGAAACGGGUUAAUAUUCCCGUACUUCUGACUAUUGCGAUGGGGGACGGAGAAGGCUAGGUGGGCCAGGCGACGGUUGUCCUGGUUCAAGUGCGUAGGCUUGAGAGUUAGGUAAAUCCGGCUCCCUCUAAGGCUGAGACACGACGUCGAGCUACUACGGUAGUGAAGUCAUUGAUGCCAUGCUUCCAGGAAAAGCCUCUAAGCUUCAGAUAGUCAGGAAUCGUACCCCAAACCGACACAGGUGGUCGGGUAGAGAAUACCAAGGCGCUUGAGAGAACUCGGGUGAAGGAACUAGGCAAAAUGGUACCGUAACUUCGGGAGAAGGUACGCUCUUGAUGGUGAAGUCCCUCGCGGAUGGAGCUGACGAGAGUCGCAGAUACCAGGUGGCUGCAACUGUUUAUUAAAAACACAGCACUGUGCAAAAUCGCAAGAUGACGUAUACGGUGUGACGCCUGCCCGGUGCCGGAAGGUUAAUUGAUGGGGUUAGCGCAAGCGAAGCUCUUGAUCGAAGCCCCGGUAAACGGCGGCCGUAACUAUAACGGUCCUAAGGUAGCGAAAUUCCUUGUCGGGUAAGUUCCGACCUGCACGAAUGGCGUAAUGAUGGCCACGCUGUCUCCACCCGAGACUCAGUGAAAUUGAAAUCGCUGUGAAGAUGCAGUGUACCCGCGGCUAGACGGAAAGACCCCGUGAACCUUUACUACAGCUUGGCACUGAACAUUGAACCUACAUGUGUAGGAUAGGUGGGAGGCUAUGAAGACGUGACGCCAGUUGCGUUGGAGCCGUCCUUGAAAUACCACCCUUGUAUGUUUGAUGUUCUAACUUAGACCCAUUAUCUGGGUUGAGGACAGUGCCUGGUGGGUAGUUUGACUGGGGCGGUCUCCUCCCAAAGAGUAACGGAGGAGCACGAAGGUGGGCUAAUCACGGUUGGACAUCGUGAGGUUAGUGCAAUGGCAUAAGCCCGCUUAACUGCGAGAAUGACGGUUCGAGCAGGUGCGAAAGCAGGUCAUAGUGAUCCGGUGGUUCUGUAUGGAAGGGCCAUCGCUCAACGGAUAAAAGGUACUCCGGGGAUAACAGGCUGAUACCGCCCAAGAGUUCAUAUCGACGGCGGUGUUUGGCACCUCGAUGUCGGCUCAUCACAUCCUGGGGCUGAAGUCGGUCCCAAGGGUAUGGCUGUUCGCCAUUUAAAGUGGUACGCGAGCUGGGUUUAGAACGUCGUGAGACAGUUCGGUCCCUAUCUGCCGUGGGCGUUGGAAGAUUGAAGGGGGCUGCUCCUAGUACGAGAGGACCGGAGUGGACGAACCUCUGGUGUUCGGGUUGUGUCGCCAGACGCAUUGCCCGGUAGCUAAGUUCGGAAUUGAUAAGCGCUGAAAGCAUCUAAGCGCGAAGCGAGCCCUGAGAUGAGUCUUCCCUGACAGUUUAACUGUCCUAAAGGGUUGUUCGAGACUAGAACGUUGAUAGGCAGGGUGUGUAAGCGUUGUGAGGCGUUGAGCUAACCUGUACUAAUUGCCCGUGAGGCUUAACCAUACAACACCCAAGGGGUUUUGUA
rnacentral:rRNA from 1 species